rnacentral:rRNA from 1 species
GACGAACGCUGGCGGCGUGCUUAACACAUGCAAGUCGAACGGUAAGGCCCUUCGGGGUACACGAGUGGCGAACGGGUGAGUAACACGUGGGUGAUCUGCCCUGCACUUCGGGAUAAGCCUGGGAAACUGGGUCUAAUACCGGAUAGGACUCCGGACUGCAUGGUCUGGGGUGGAAAGCUUUUGCGGUGUGGGAUGGGCCCGCGGCCUAUCAGCUUGUUAGUGGGGUGAUGGCCUACCAAGGCGACGACGGGUAGCCGGCCUGAGAGGGUGACCGGCCACACUGGGACUGAGAUACGGCCCAGACUCCUACGGGAGGCAGCAGUGGGGAAUAUUGCACAAUGGGCGCAAGCCUGAUGCAGCGACACCGCGUGAGGGAUGACGGCCUUCGGGUUGUAAACCUCUUUCAGCAUCGACGAAGCGAAAGUGACGGUAGGUGCGGAAGAAGGACCGGCCAACUACGUGCCAGCAGCCGCCGUAA